GCAGGGGAGGGAGCUCUGUUGCUUGCUGCUCUUGGGAAGGAGAGGAAGUGCAUCUCCUUACCCUGUCAUCAAUUUGAUAAGGGAUUAUUACAUAUUUCCCCCUAUUAAAAGCCGUUAUUACAUAUUUACCCACUCUUUAAAAUCAAUUACAUAUUUCCCCUUUUCUUGCAACCGUACCGUAGAUGUGCUGGACAACAUCUACAUACAACAUCUGAUGAAGGCGGUUCUACCUGUUCUAGCCACUCAUUGCAACCAUCGUGCCGUCGUCGGGUGCGACGAUCCUACUUGUUCUAGCCACUCAUCACAACCGUCGCCGGAAUCGGGUGGCCGGCCGGAGGCCAUGGCUGGUCCCCUUUCUCUCUCAGACACAAUUCUCUUUCUCUCUCUAAUUCUGUGUUCUCCGACUCUCUCUCGUGUAGUACGUGGGCCUGCGUAUCUUUAAUUGAAAGAAAAGAAAAAGGAACAUUGGAUUUGGGGAUAUCUCAGUCGAAUGUCUUUGGGGGGAUAGCAAUAGAAGUUCUGGAUCUUUGAUAAAAUGGUGUUUGUGCUAAUCCUUUACUCAAGUCUUAUUCGUAUUCGAUUUUUUGGAAAAACAUAAACUGAUGGAUAUUGUUUUUGGGUUAAUGUUGAUCCAUAUUGAUAAAAGAUUGUUGUUGUGUUAUC